AGUCACUGACAUUAGAUACCCGGUAGUCCAGGGUGUAAACGCUGCAGACUUGGUGUUGGAAGCCCUUUGGGGGCAUUCAGUGCCGGAGAGAAGUUGUUAAGUCUGCUACUUGGGAGUACGUCCGCAAGGAUGAAACUUAAAGGAAUUGGCGGGGGAGCACCGCAACGGGAGGAGCGUGCGGUUUAAUUGGAUUCAACACCGUAAAACUCACCAGGGAAGACUGUUACAUGAAGGCCGAGAUGAAGACUCUGCCAGAUUUUCAG
rnacentral:rRNA from 1 species